rnacentral:rRNA from 1 species
UACGGAGGGUGCGAGCGUUACCCGGAUUUACUGGGUGUAAAGGGCGUGUAGGCGGCCUCGCAAGUCCGAUGCUAAAGACCGAAGCUCAACUGCGGGGGUGCGUUUGAUACUGUGGGGCUAGACGGUCGGUGAGGGUAGCGGAAUUUCCGGAGUAGCGGUGAAAUGCGCAGAUACCGGAUGGAACGCCAAUAGCGAAGGCAGCUGGCUGGACGAUUUGUGACGCUGAGGCGCGAAAGCGUGGGGAGCAAACCGG